rnacentral:lncRNA from 1 species
GCGACAAUAUUUGCAACCCGUCCCUAGAAUUAUUGGCUUAAUAAAACGUUGUACUUUGCAUUACAAUGCAACUAGUAGAUAAAUAUGCAAAUCAGCAAUGAACAAAUGAACAAAUAAUCAUAAAAACUUGAGUUUGUUACAACAUGAUUAGGCAAACAAAAAAAACAUGCCUAAAAACAAUGCAACCUAAUUAGUGGAAACCCAAUUACAAGUAUUAAAUCACACCUUAAA